UCCUUCUGGGUAUGAAUGAAGGGUCCAGCUCUCCAGGGGGUGGUUGGAGAAGGGUGAGAAUUUCCCCUGCAGUCAGUCCCAAGUAGAAGGAGGUGUGUUUGCUGUUCAUAGUCCCUCUCAGGCACUGCUUGGCAAUCUAUCCUUUGGGAGAGGGAUUCAGAUCACCCAAAUGAAACAACAAAGGAGUCAUGCAGCUUUGAGGGGGAGAGGGGAAGGAAUACAUGCUUUUGUUUCUUCCUUCCUGUACUUUACAAGCAGAUGGUCAGAGGGAACGAUUCGAAGAUACAGUGAAGCUCAACUUCAAUGCCACCGUUCAGCUGGAUUCCUGAACUGCGGCCCUGGAGGCCUUCCAGCUCGCUGGCCUGAGAGAGACAAAUGAGCCCUUCAUGGCCUCUCCCUGGAUGAAAGCCUUCCACAGAGCUGGUCUUAGAGUGCCGGAGACGGGAGCCAGAAGAACAACAGGACAGGACAAACACCCUGUGCCGACUGCCCAGAGUCUCCGUCGAUUGGUCUGAAGCAACCAAGUGUCUGAAGGCAUUAGGCCUCAGGUCUCCAUCCAGCAGCUGGUUGGGUCUCCUGCUGUCACUCAUUCUCCUCACAUGUCCCACCCAGGCAGACUGUGUUACGGUGAGCCUAGCUUCGAUACUAGGAGGCUGACCACGCUCCAGAAUCUGUUUGUGAUCUGGUCUUGCUAUUUGAUAUGAAGUAAGUGACGUUGGUGGAAGUGCUCAAGGAACUGGAUGUGUCGUCUGUAUCAUC